CGCGACAUCCGGUGACGUCAAGUGAUUUUUAUCGCAAAAGAACUCCACAGUGUGUGUGUCCUUGAAGGAAGAGGAGUAGCACUGCAUCGAAGUGGACUGUCACCUGGAAAUCACAACAUGAAACUUGGAAAAGUUCCAAAGAUAUAUAUGGGAUGGACUGUUGUCGUUGCUAUUGGCAUCACAUCGUUUGUACUUGCCAAGAAUUCAGUGACAAAAAAUCGGGCGGCUGUCAUGAAGACAAGGGAACGCAUUCGAGAACAAACAAGGGCAGAGCAAGAGGCGCAGCGGGCCAGCUAACAUCAAACUAAGGAAUAUUAGUGACGUAGAUACUGACAGGAGAGUGAUGCUUGGAAAUCUGGUGGUCAAAAGUGGGACUGGCAUUGUUUGGUAUGACAAGAGUGUCCUUUACACCAAAAAAAAGUUAACUGUUCAGACGGCAUAAUCCAUAGGUUGUGCGCAUGGUUGAAUGUGAGUGUAUUUGUUGUUACUAGUGACAACUGAACUUUCGUUUCGUUGUAAAAUCGCUUUUACACUGUACAUGGGCCGAAUGUUAAACGACGACAUGAUUUUUAAUCUCAGUGUCGUCAACUACUCUGUAAUGUUUUAAGAAAGUGCUUGCUGUGUGGCGCAAGUAACGAUUUCAAACUAAAUCUCACUUAUCGACAGUCUUCUGUCUUGGGUGAUACUCUAUUCGGUCAGGGCUUGUGUUUAAGGGCAAUUUACUCAGGUAACAUUGCCAUAAUUUGGGGAUCCAAUGGAUAACGUUAAGCCGACAGACAAAACAUUUCCGGAUUCAUGAGACACCGAGAAGAUGAAGUUAAAAGGGCUGUAAAUUUGUUCAGGAUUUUUAAAACAGUGCUAUUUCAGAGUUUCAAGUAUUCAUUACACACACACACACAAAUCUUUCUUUAAAAAGUUUCUUUAGUCUGAAUCGACAAAUUACCAUUGAGAAGGAGAUUUGGAUUGGUCAACGCAAGGCCAUAAAUAUGGGUUUUCUGCGGAUAGCCGAUUUACUCAGCUGAGAUAGAGUAACAGGCUGGGUAAAUAUGUUUCGUAAAUACUAGGUCUGCAGCAUGUACCCAAAUGUCAAAGCGCUCAUUGGGCUGGAUAGUGUAUUAAAGCUGUGAAAACCCACAA